rnacentral:misc_RNA from 1 species
UGGAUUUUUUUGUUUUGGCAAGAGCAUGAGAGCUUUUACUGGGCAAGAAGACAAGAGAUGGAGAGUCCAGCCGGGCCUGCGCUUAAGUGCGCGGUCUUGCUAGGCUUGUAAGUUUCUUUCUUGCUAUUCCAAACGGUGAGAGAUUUCUGUGCUUUUGUUAUAGGACAAUUAAAACCGUUUCAAUACAACACACUGUGGAGUUUUCAUAUCUUUGCAACUUUUUCUUUGGGCAUUCGAGCAAUCGGGGCCCAGAGGUAACAAACACAAACAAUUUUAUUUAUUCAUUAAAUUUUUGUCAAAAACAAGAAUUUUCGUAACUGGAAAUUUUAAAAUAUUAAAAACUUUCAACAACGGAUCUCUUGGUUCUCGCAUCGAUGAAGAACGCAGCGAAAUGCGAUACGUAAUGUGAAUUGCAGAAUUCCGUGAAUCAUCGAAUCUUUGAACGCACAUUGCGCCCCUUGGUAUUCCAGGGGGCAUGCCUGUUUGAGCGUCAUUUCCUUCUCAAACAUUCUGUUUGGUAGUGAGUGAUACUCUUUGGAGUUAACUUGAAAUUGCUGGCCUUUUCAUUGGAUGUUUUUUUUUCCAAAGAGAGGUUUCUCUGCGUGCUUGAGGUAUAAUGCAAGUACGGUCGUUUUAGGUUUUACCAACUGCGGCUAAUCUUUUUUAUACUGAGCGUAUUGGAACGUUAUCGAUAAGAAGAGAGCGUCUAGGCGAACAAUGUUCUUAAAGU